UUAAAUAGAGUUUUGUGCUAUAAAAUCUCUUCUUUUACACUUUCACCCUUAUGUCUUCCAUACUUGCAUUUUUUGUACCACAUUUUUCCCUAUGUCGCAUGUUGGCCCAUGAGAUACUUUAAUGCCGCUUGACUUCAUGUUGAUUCUACAUCCUUUCAAGUCUAAAAUACUCAAGGAGAUAAGAUUCUUUCGUAAAUCAGGUACAUACUUAACAUCUAAGAGUGUCUUAAUCGUCUCAUCGUGUAUCCAAAAUUUAACAGUACCAAUACUAAUUACCUUACCGGAUGAAUAGUUUGUAGCACCCCAAACCCAGCCCAGGAGUUAUGGCCGGAUCCGACAUGCCACAUCAAAAAUGUAAAAAAAAAAAUUCCAUUCUAAGUCCAGAAAAUCGUACUUGAUGUUCAAAAGAUUAAUUCAUUAAGGGUUAAAGUGAAUGGAAGCUGUGCACCAGGUAGGAAACCGGAAAAGAGGUGGUGAGUCCAUCGGACUGCUUAAGUACCAAGCUCCUUUCGGAUCCAAUCCUAGACAUGCAUACCGCCAUUGCCACACCAUAACGUCAUGGAUAUUUCUAGGAAACCGAUUUGAUUAAGUCAUUUUUAGGAAAAAUGAUUAAUUUUGGAAAAAUACUUUUAUUGCGGAAGCUUUGCUUGUUGUCGUGUUAUUUUGAAAUCAACUGUUGUUUUUGAAAACGCGCCCUAAAGCUAUCCAAUUUCAACAGUUAAAAUAAGUAUUACCUAUCUUAGUAAUACAUAUUAAAACCAUAAAAAAUAAUUAAGCGGCCUUAUUACAUUUAAAAGCCCAAAAACUUCAAACGUAAAUAAAAGGAUGUCCAGUUCACCAGAAGAAAAUCAAACUUUCAGAACGGGUGGCCACUCCAAAUUCCCUCACAGCUCCAAGCCCACUAUGGUUGGGGAUUUCCUACGUGGAUGAAAAUAAAAGGGGUGAGUUUGGGGAAACUCAGUGUGUAAGGAAAACCCAUUCAAAGCCCAAGUCAGCUCAAGCCCAUUGGGCUAAGCCCAUUCAAGUAAUAGUGGUACUGGGCCAGAGCCCUUUUCAGAUUACAAUAAACUAGGCCUUAGCCCCUUAUUCAGAUAACAGUAUGGCCCAUAGGCCCAUUUCAAAAUACAUGCAACAUCAGUAAACAUAUGCAAGCCCAUUUGGGUAACAGUGGUACUGGGCCAGAGCCCUUUUCAGAUUACAAUAAACUGGGCCUUAGCCCCUUAUUCAGAUAACAGUAUGGCCCAUAGGCCCAUUUCAAAAUACAUGCAACAUCAGUAAACAUAUGCAAGCCCAUUUGGGGAGACUACUCAACCCACCAACCACUACACUCCACCUGUACCAGCCAUACACUCCAUGUGGGGAAUAGCUCAACCCACCCAGCCCAACACUCCACAGUUGCAGCCUUGCUGCUCAGUUAACAGUAAAUUGAGGCAAAGCCUCCAGUACGUGGACAAGCCACUUUCAGUACUUCCUCCGUCAAUAUCCCAGUCCCAUGCAUCAGAUAAUAACAACAUGGCAUGCAGUAAAUAACAACAGUCAAACAUGCAUUUAGGUCAAUUUAACUCUAGGGGUAUUUCGGUAAUUUAUCUACUAGGGGUAAAACUAUAAAUUUUCCACUUUUAAAGGUAUUUCAGUAAUUUAUCUAUUUUAGGGUUUUUCAUGCAUAUUCCUACAUUUCACAUACUAACAGAAUCACUACCGAGGGUUCUUACCGAAUUGGGCCCGUUGGCCCAUCAUUCCAAUUUUGGCCCAUUAAGCCCAAAAAUAUCGAUGGCACAAAAAUCAUGCAUUUUGCAAUCCAAAUUUUGCAGUUUACCAAAACCAUUAAUCGAUUUACCUCACGAGCAUUCGCACACUCGUAAAUCUACAAAAUACCAGUUUUCGGCAUUUCGGCUUUUUGACUUUUGCCGAUCCAGACUAAGAAAGAGGGUGUUAGUUACACACCUGUUUGCGACGAUAUGUUGACGAGAUCCACACACGAACUGCCUACAAUUUGAUUACUAACACGUUAAUCUAACUAUUCAAAUACGAACUACGUAUUGACCCCUUACAAUAUUCGACCAACCACACCUACAGAUCAUAGUAAGCUUAUAAGAAAACAAUAAGCAACUCAUUAACAAAUUUUUGUCAAUGUUUACCACAUAAUCAUAAUUUCACUGCAAGCUAUCUUCUUGAGCGACAGUCACUACAUCAUUUAUAACUGGAGCUACGAAACUCUAAAUCAAGUGCCGUUAAUUUUCCCUGAAAAUAGACUCAUAUAUCUUCUAUCCAUAAAAUUUUCAGAAUUUUUGGUUUAGCCAAUUAAUACCAGAUUUUUCUCAAAGUUUCCCAUGUUUCACUGUUUGACUAAUCUGACCACUCUUGAUUACGAAUCAAAUUUCUCAUUGUACAGAAUUCAAAAUAUGUUCUUGUUUAUUUCAUUAGAAACUAGACUCAAUAAGCUUCAAUUACAUAAUUUAUUCAGCUUCUAAUUCUUCUCCCACUAUUUAUGGUGAUUUUCCAAAAUCACGUUACUGCUGCUGUCCCAAGCAGAUUUAUUACCAAAUCACUCUUUCACACAUACCUUGCAUGCAUGUUAUUUAAACAUGUAUAUCACCAAUCAAUCAUCACAUAUCUAUGAUUUUACUUAAGUAUAAUCUCCAUUUCAUCAUUUUAAAGCACAACAUGUUAGCUGAUUUUUCCCUUUAACAUCUAAGGCACAUGCAUGCUCAUUUGUUUGGCUCAACUUCACCUAUCUUCUAUUUUUCAUCAAAAGAACAUGAAACAACAACCAUUUCCUUCAUUUUAAUUCAUGACUAAAUGCUCACAACACAACUAAAAAUCAAAAUAUACUUCAAGAGUUAAGGUAGAAUCAAUAAGAACUCAUGAACCUCAAAAUAGAAGCAAGGUACCAAGAACUUACCUUCAAUUUUCCUCCUCCUAAUGACCGAAUACUCAAGAGCUUUCUCCUCUCCUUUCUCUUCUCUAACUUUCAGCUAUGAUGAACAAAGAUGGACAAAAAUUUGUUCUUUUCACCCCUUUUUCUUUUAAUAAAACUUCAUAUUUCAUCCAUUUAAUUCUUUAAUAUAAAAGACAUGAAAUUCUUAUCAUGAAACAUUUACCUAACCCAUUAUCAUGAAACAUUUACCUAACCCAUUAUCAUGGAACAUUUACCUAACCUAUUAUCAUGGAACAUUUACCUAACCUAUUAUCAAUUUGUAUCAAUUUGUACCAUAAAUUAUGGAUAUCAAGUGUACAUUUUGUCUACAACAACAUGAUGGCUGGCCACUUCAUGUAAAAUGGGAGGUUUGUCAUGCAAAUCCUCCUAUUUUGCACUCCUAUUUAUUUGGUCACUUCAAUUUAGCCUAUAGCAUUUUCAAACAUUUUCACAUAGGUCCUAUUUCAUAAUUUCACUCACAAGUGGCAAAAUUAAAGCAUGAAAUUUUGCCAACAUUCACAGAAUUCCCGAAAAUUGGGGCGUUACAACUCUACCCUCCUUAAAGAAAUUUCGUCCUCGAAAUUUACCUAAUCCAAACAGAUGAGGGUAUUGCUAUUGCAUCGUCUCUUCUGGCUCCCAAACUCAGAAGUUUCCCAUUCCUUAACUUGUUUAAAACGAGCAACCAAAGACUCAUCGUUCAACUGUUUUUCCUUAAUCUGAUCCACCCAGGUUGGCCUCACUUGCAACUCAGCCAACAGACUUCCAUCAUCAUACAGACUCAGACGAGCAAACAUUGCUCUCAGAUCAGAUACAGUUCUACGACUUAGAGCAUCGGCUACCACAUUAGCCUUGCCUGGGUGAUACUCGAUCGAAAAGUCAUAAUCCUUAAGCAACUCAAUCCAUCUCUUUUGCCAAAGGUUCAGCUCCUUCUGAGUCAACAAAUACUUAAGACUCUUUUGGUCAGUGUAUAUAAUACACCUUUCUCCGUACAAGUAAUGUCUCCAAAUCUUAAGUGCAAAUAUCACUGCUGCCAACUCUAAAUCAUGAGUCAAAUAGUUUCCCUCAUAAGGCUUAAGCUAUCGUGAUGCAUAUGCAACCACCUUACCCUCUUGCAUUAACACGCAGCCCAAACCCACGUGUGAUGCGUCACUGUACACAGUAAAAUCAUUCCCAGACUCCGGCUGAAUUAAUACAAGUGCUUCAGUCAGAACUUUCUUCAACUUCUCAAAAGCUUCCUGCUGUUUCUUAGUCCAUACAAACGGUACUCCUUUCCUUAUGUGUUUUGUCAGAGGUGCUGCCAUCACACAAAAAAAACCUUCCACAAACCUUCUGUAGUAUCCUACCAGUCCUAGAAAACUCCGUAUUUCUGACACUGACCUAGGCAGCUUCCAUUCCAAAAUCGCUUCAAUUUUCCGAAGGUCCACUUUAAUCCCCUCAGCAGAGACCACAUGUCCUAAGAAAGUUACCUCCCUCAACCAAAAUUCACACUUGCUGAACUUCACAAAGAGUUCCUUCUCCCUUAAUACUUACAGCACUAUACGGAGAUGCUCAUCAUGUUUCGUUUUAGUUUCAGAAUAUACCAGGAUAUCGUCAAUAAAGAUGACUAUGAACUGAUCCAAAAAUGGUUGGAACACACGAUUCAUCAGAUCCAUAAACGCUGCAGGAGUGUUCGUUAGUCCAAAUGGCAUAACCAGAAACUCAUAAUGACCAUACCGAGUCCUGAAUGUCGUCUUUUGGAUAUCUGCCUCCUUGACCCUUAACUAAUGAUAUCCAGAUCGAAGGUCGAUCUUGGAAAAUACAGAAGCUCCUCUAAGCUGGUCAAAUAGAUCGCCAAUUCUUGGCAGUGGAUACUUAUUCUUAAUCAUCAGUUUGUUCAACUGGCUAUAAUCAAUGCACAUCCGCAUCGUACCAUCUUUCUUUUUCACGAAUAGCACUGGUGCUCCCCAUGGAGACACGCUUGGCCUAAUAAAGCCUCUAUCCAACAACUCUUGAAUUUGAGCAUUUAACUCUACUAACUCCUUCGGUGCCAUCCUAUACGGUGCGAUAGACACAAGCGCCAUUCCAGGCAACAAGUCUAUUCCAAACUCAACUUCUCGAUUCGAAGGCAAUCCUGGAAGCUCCUCUAGAAAAACAUCUUGGAAUUCCUUUACGGUCCUAACCUUAUCCACUGUCAGUCCCUUCUCUUCCGACUGACUUACAAAUGCCAAAUAGGCCUCACAACAUUUCUGAAUCCACUUUUCGGCUCUUAAAGCCGACACCAUGUUGGACAAAUAAUCCCUUCGCUCACCUAUCACUAUAACCUCCUCAUCCUUUGUGGUCCUAAACAGCAUUCAUUUAGCAGCACAAUCCAGGGUUGCCUUAUGCUUAACAAGCCAGCCCAUUCCCAAAAUGAGAUCAAACUCUCCGAACGGUAAAUCCAUCAGAUCUCCAAGAAAAACCUUGCCUUGAGUUUCUAAGGGUACAUUCCUAUACAGUUUGUCUACCUUAACCGAGUGACCCAAGGGACUUAGUACAGAUACCCCACUCACAAUCUCCUCAGAGCAGUCCAAGUUGUCCAUAAUCCGUUCUGUGGCCUCCAACCAAUAUUCCGCCACAUUCGGGGCUAUACCAGACACGCCCUUAAAGAUCUACGUUCCAUUAGUCCCGAAGUCAUUCAGAAAUAAAUCCCUGAAUUUCGUUGCCCGAACUUGCUCCGGCAACCCUUUCCAGAACAUGAAGCAUUGCCUGUGAUAGGGCAUCAUCCUCGGCACUGCGGUCAUGAGACUCUACCUCUGUUGCCGGUGGUACCGGUGCAUCCACUGUCGACAUAUGUCUCGAAGACGAAGAUCUCGCUCGAGCACUUCCUCGGCUUCGUCCACGGCCUCUUGUACUCAUAUCGUAUUAUCUUGAUUACAAAUUUUUAUGCAUCAAUUAAUAUUCCAGUGUUUAUUACAGAUGUUUUAUGAAUCAGACAAUAGUUCAGAGUUUGUUUUCGCAGAAUCGAAGUCUAGCUACAGUUUCAGUCUCUUAUCAGAUUUUCCUAUGGUUUCAGUAUCAUCCUAUCUAGAGUAUCCUAAUAGGGUUUCAGUACAGACAGAUAAUUCAGGAAAAUAUUCAGAAAAGUUCAGAGUAAUACUUACAGACUUGAGCCAGAGAUUCGGAAUGCCACCUUCUAAAGAUCUAAAUUUUGAAAAUCGAGUUUUUCGCAUUCUUUAUAAAAUUUUUGCUUUCAAAAAUCUUUGUUUUUGUAAACUCAUUCCACAGCCGAGUUGUUGUAAUCUAGGCUCUGAUACCACUAAAUGUAGCACCCUAAACCCAGCCCAGGAGUUAUGGCCGGAUCUGACAUGCCACAUCAAAAAUGUAAAAAAAAAAUUUCCACUCUAAGUCCAGAAAAUCGUACUUGAUGUUCAAAAGAUUAAUUCAUUAAGGGUUAAAGUGAAUGGAAGCUGUGCACCAGGUAGGAAACCGGAAAAGAGGUGGUGAGUCCAUAGGACUGCUUAAGUACCAAGCUCCCUUCGGAUCCAAUCCUAGACAUGCAUACCGCCAUUGCCACACCUUAACGUCAUGGAUAUUUCUAAGAAACCGAUUUGAUUAAGUCAUUUUUAGGAAAAAUGAUUAAUUUUGGAAAAAUACUUUCAUUGCGGAAGCUUUGCUUGUUGUCGUGUUAUUUUGAAAUCAACUGUUGUUUCUGAAAACGCGCCCUAAAGCUAUCCAAUUUCAAUAGUUAAAAUAAGUAUUACCUAUCUUAGUAAUACAUAUUAAAACCAUAAAAAAUAAUUAAGCGGCCUUAUUACAUUUAAAAGCCCAAAAACUUCAAACGUAAAUAAAAGGAUGUCCAGUUCACCAGAAGAAAAUCAAACUUUCAGAACGGGUGGCCACUCCGAAUUCCCUCACAGCUCCAAGCCCACUAUGGUUGGGGAUUUUCUGCGUGGAUGAAAAUAAAAUGGGUGAGUUUGGGGAAACUCAGUGUGUAAGGAAAACCCAUUCAAAGCCCAAGUCAGCUCAAGCCCAUUGGGCUAAGCCCAUUCAAGUAAUAGUGGUACUGGGCCAGAGCCCUUUUCAGAUUACAAUAAACUAGGCCUUAGCCCCUUAUUCAGAUAACAGUAUGGCCCAUAGGCCCAUUUCAAAAUACAUGCAACAUCAGUAAACAUAUGCAAGCCCAUUUGGGUAACAGUGGUACUGGGCCAGAGCCCUUUUCAGAUUACAAUAAACUGGGCCUUAGCCCCUUAUUCAGAUAACAGUAUGGCCCAUAGGCCCAUUUCAAAA
rnacentral:lncRNA from 1 species